AUUGAACGCUGGCGGCAGGCCUAACACAUGCAAGUCGAGCGGAUGAGAGGAGCUUGCUCUUCGAUUCAGCGGCGGACGGGUGAGUAAUGCCUAGGAAUCUGCCUAGUAGUGGGGGACAACGUUUCGAAAGGAACGCUAAUACCGCAUACGUCCUACGGGAGAAAGUGGGGGAUCUUCGGACCUCACGCUAUUAGAUGAGCCUGGGUCGGAUUAGCUAGUUGGUAGGGUAAAGGCCUACCAAGGCGACGAUCCGUAACUGGUCUGAGAGGAUGAUCAGUCACACUGGAACCGAGACACGGUCCAGACUCCUACGGGAGGCAGCAGUGGGGAAUAUUGGACAAUGGGCGAAAGCCUGAUCCAGCCAUGCCGCGUGUGUGAAGAAGGCCUUCGGGUCGUAAAGCACUUUAAGUUGGGAGGAAGGGCUCAUAGCGAAUACCUGUGAGUUUUGACGUUACCAACAGAAUAAGCACCGGCUAACUUCGUGCCAGCAGCCGCCGUAA
rnacentral:rRNA from 1 species